rnacentral:misc_RNA from 1 species
UUUCCGUAGGUGAACCUGCGGAAGGAUCAUUAACCUGUACCUCAGUCAUGCUGCCCCGUGAACUGUACAAACCCGCUCUGUGUACCUCUCCUGUUGCUUCCGCUGCGCCUGGAGCAUUUCAGAUGAGUUGUCUCUCGCACAGUCAAUUGCUGUGUGGGGUUUGCAAAUCUCGGUCACUGCUCUCGAUUCACAUGCCCAGCGGGAGGAUACUUAAUUUCCGACUUUACUCGUUCACCUGGCUAAACUAUGAACCAAAAAAAAAAUUGUUAAAACUUUCAGCAACGGAUCUCUUGGUUCUC